rnacentral:rRNA from 2 species
AGAACCAACCGGGUGCAUUCCUCUGGUUUGCGCCUGUCACAUUCUGUGAUGACUCUGGAUAACUUUGCUGAUCGCAGUCGGCCUUGUGUCGGCGACGAGUCUUUCAAAUGUCUGCCCUAUCAAUUGUCGAUGGUAGGUGACCUGCCUACCAUGGUGAUAACGGGUAACGGGGAAUCAGGGUUCGAUUCCGGAGAAAGAGCCUGAGAAACGGCUACUAUUUCCAAGGAAGGCAGCAGGCGCGCAACUUACCCAAUCCCGGCACGGGGAGGUAGUGACGAAAAAUACGGAUGCGGGACUCAACAGAGGCUCCGUAAUUCGAAUGAGUACAAUUCAAAUCCUUUAACGAGGAUCAACUGGAGGGCAAGUCUGGUGCCAGCAGCCGCGGUAACUCCAGCUCCAGAAGCGUAUAUUAAAUUUGUUGCAGUUAAAAAGCUCGUAGUUGGAUCUGGGAAGCACGGUUACGAGUCGUUUCUUACAUUUCUAACCUAGCCACGGUUGGGCCGGUUAUGUAAGGCGGUUUUGUAGCUGUGUAGCCUUUCUGCCGUGUCUGUUUACGGGUGCUGACGGUCAAUACGUUGGCAUGCUUCCAGAUGCUCUUAACCGGGUGUCUGGGGCGGACGGCAAGUUUA